UGGCGGUCUUCUGUCCUUGAUCUGGUGGAAGAGUGGGUUGCUUAGCAACAUCGUGAAGCCGCGCCGCUAAACAUGGUAGUGGAGAUUAGCUAGAGAACAUUACACACAACAUGACUAGCACAUUAUUCAUUCACUGUGUUAUUAUUUAUAAUUUAUUUUAAUUCAGGAAGUAGGAUCGUUUGUUUGUGUUCAAAAUCAAGUGUAGAUCAGAUUAACAUCUUGCCCGCAAACCCAAACACAGUCGCUUAGCAAGUUUGCUAGCUAGUAACGUUAAGCUAUCUGGCUAGUUCGCGUCAUCUACAGAUAUAAUGCUCCUGGAUUUAUGCACAUCUGAGUCGAUGCUGUUUGUAGAGCUAGUGAUUUCUUUCAUAGGCUUUCUGGUGGUCAGAGGGCUAGUAAAAUGAGCCGCUAACUAUAGGCUAGUUUCAGGAUCGUGUUCGUGGACGGUAAAGCACCAUCACCAUGCUCUUGUCUCGGAUGAAGCCAGCAGUGGCUGGUGAAGCAUCCACCAGCUCGAAUGAGAAGAAAAGGAAAAAUAAAAUGAAAAAGAUUCCAAGACUUGAGGAUUAUCUAAACCAAAGAGACUAUUUGGGAGCCCUGACCCUAUUAGAGUUUCAGCGUAAUGGCGGGGUGUCUGUGGAGCAUGCAGACCUUUUGGAUUGGCUUCUGCGCCUUUCAUUUGGGAGACCACAAGAGAGCAACGGAGGAGUACAAAGCUCUCACUUUUGAUGCCGGAGUGUCCGGUGGAAGUUUGGGUAUAUCUGGGCUGUUCGCUCUUUUUCCUGGGGCUUUAUAAAGAGGCAGAGGAGGCUGCAUUAAAAGGUUGUCUUCACAUACUAUAUACACUGUUCUGUAAGAUGUUUUUGAAAGAAGUCUCUCGUGCUCACCAAGGCUGUAUUUUUGUAAUAUAAAAUACAGGGAAAUCAUUAAUAUUAUAACAAUUUCUAACUGUU